CCGUCGUCUCUCUGCUCUCAGGUGGAUUGAAAACUGGCUGCAGGAGAUGAAACACGAACACGAGGACGUGUCAGUGUCGGUCAGUGAGCUUUCGACGGCUUUGCUUCCAGUCGCAGAAGCACAAACAGACUCUGACAUGACGAAGCGCUCCGUGUCAGAGGUUUAGGCGAUCUGCGGGACUUGACACCUCUCUCUGCAGCCAGAGGAAUGAGGCCUGCAGCUAAUGAGCGCUUCCUGGACAGCCAGGAUGGAUGAACCGUUCAGAUGGUGACAAACUACGAGACUCGGGAGUCUUUAGAGCACAAACAGACGAAGCUCAGUAAACCGUGAAGAAGGUGCUCUGAAGCUCCAUGUGUGGAGGAACACCAACAUCCUGAACACAUGAUGCGAAUGGCGUGACAUGCCGGUAGCAGAACAUCCUCCAGGGAUAUUUCUCUUCAGCAGAAGGAUCAGAACUGCACAGAAACGCCAAAGAAGCAGCAGGAGCGGUCUUGAAGUCCCGCAGAGGCGGAGGUUUCUGUGCCUGCGGGGCGUGGCACCCGCCGGUCUGCUCUGUGACACAGUGAUCCGCCUGCCGCCGACUCCCACAUCCAUCGUACACAGAAGAGGGCUGACAGCAAUGCCACAACGCAGCAACACUAUCCACCUUCCAGCACGACCAGCAACUCUCCGUUCCAGGAAGAGAAGCAGAGAUCAAACACAUACACACACACACACACAUAAAUAUUUCUGGAUGCGAGUUCAGUUUGUGUCUCUGGAUGCAGAAAGUCACCAUCUUCUUUUUCCACCCCGAGGAGUCGUUUUAAUUUGGUUUGCUUUGCUUCUAAACAUUUGUUCAGCGGUCCUCGAGUGGCAGAGAGAGGGGCGUCACACGGCGGAGCAGCCGCUGCUACGGCCUGAUGCUUUUCCACAUUAAAGUGAUUUAAUUUUCCAGUCAAUAAAAUCAGUCAUCAGAACCUGAAGCCUGCAAUCUGCCUAAAGCAUGCAAUUUUGCAGAAUUCUCGAUGUUUAACUUCAACAAGCUUUCAGGAAAAAACACAAGUGACGACACUUGCUUUGUAAAUUUAUGCGCUGGUGCUGUUGUCUUUUGAUUUAGCAAAGAAAUAUAUCUAUUACCAUCAGAUCUGCUCAUCUGCAGCCCUGAUUAGUGGAGAUUUUAAUAAUUUACCGGCCUAUAAUCACUGUGUAAAAGCUGUUGGUGAGCACAGAGCGGAGCAGAGUGAUUGAUAAGCUUUGGGGGUGAGAAAGUGAACGAAAGAGCUCGUCAUUCGAUAUGCCAUCUGUGGUCAGGGUCUCUACCUCUUCCCAGAUGGCUUUGAACGGCGGCGUGACAGUCUGAAGACUGAUUUCCCUUUCACCAGCGAUUUUGGCAAAGGUAAUGUACUCACUGAGUGAAACAGAAUCUUGAUGUAUCUUAUUUAAUAGGAACAGUGAUGGACGACUACGCUGAGAAGAUCAGAUCGCCUCUUUUGUCCUUCUUGGGAUCUUGCGGCCCGGUCUCAGAACGAAGCCGAACACUGACUUUUUUUCCGGGCUCUCGUCACUCGAAAUCCAACUUCUGCAAACAAUGAGGCAUUGAGGACUAUUUUAAAGCCUCUGAGACGCCGCCUUUUCCUUYCUUUCUGCUAAACUACUGUUGCUAGGCAAUUUUAGCCCCCAAAACUCUGCUUAGCGGGUUGAACUGGAGGCUAUUUGUUGCCAGGCAACAUUUGCUAAUUGGACGCUCUAUGACGGAGCAUUUCCAAACUACUAUGAGAUAAGGAGGAAGAGGAUCUCGCAUCUACCGCUGUCCUGAGCAGCCCUGCAGCAGCGGCACGGCUGAGCUUAUUAGUGUUGAUUUUAAAUGAGAGAUCAGUCCGGGUGGCAAUAAGAAAACACCUGAGGCACCUCGCUGCUUUCUAAAAAAUGGAUGUUGGUCAAUUUCCAAUUACAUGGAACAUAAAUAAGCAACAGCAGCAUGAACUGUGAUGCAGGUCUAAACCGGAUCUAACAGAUUGCUUUUGGGUAUAAAUAUGUCCUAACAUAUGCUGUUCUCAUAUCACUGAUGAUAGUAAAUUCAGUCACACAACCACAGACUGCUGUUUCAACAAUCUUAUAAUGCGCACUAUUAAAUAGGCAAUUACAAAUCGCACACUGAACAACAGCUUUUUAAUACAACUGAAGAAUGUGUGGUAAUAGUUCAGAAAUGAACAGUUAAUUGAAAGGUAGCUCACUUAUUAUGUUUAGUUUGAGUUUUUUAAGUCGAACAUGACAAAAAUAAAGUUACAGCAGAGA